rnacentral:lncRNA from 1 species
GUAGAGAGCACACUAGCCUUUGUCUCAGAUGAACACUCUGAAGCCUCCCCAAUGGUCAAAAACUGCACUGCCUCCAUAAACCAACUAACGUGGAGGCAAAAAGAAAGAGAUGGAGUAUUACUGUUUUUCCCAAGGCCUGCAAAUGUGGAAAUUACCUGCUACAAAACUGACACUCGAAAUCCCUUCUCUUUGAAGCAGCUUACAGCAAAACUACCCCAGCAACACGGAUACAAUGCCAGUUCCAUGACGCCCUUUGCCAGCCUCACUGGCCUUUUCUGCAAAGUUGGGGAAACUUUUCAAAAUUCCAGUUUUGGACUCUAGUAAAAAGAUCACGGCAAACCAAAAAAAGUAAAACAGACUGAAAUUUCUCUCUUUCUUCCGACUGGAAAUUCUGGCCAACUGCAGUCACCAGAACAAUUAAAAACUACCACACGUUAUUUUUUAAAAAAAUGGAAGAAAAAGGCAAACACCAUAGCGGAUGAGGUGUUAAGGGGUAGACACACAGUUUUGAGGGAAACGUCUCUAAUAACGGGGGUGGGGAAUGGAAAACAAUCUAAGGGGGAAUCAGAUGGGAGAAGAGAGCAAAGAAGAGAGGAAAGAACUCCAAAGUGGUAACGGAAAAACAAAAAACCCACCACCAAAUGAGCCCAAACAGAGUUCGUGGCAAGGAUUCAACCAAGAGCGCUGGGAAUGGCGAGGAAGCAGCUGCAUGGGGACAGGAAAGUGACGGACUCGGGGCUCCGGACAGCCUGCGGGGUGCACAGGUGGGGAGGGACGGUGUGUCUGGGCCAGACUCCACCUUCCACUGAAACUCCAGCUGCGGGCGCCGCAAAGCAGCUAGUGUCCCAGCAGCCCGAGGCACACUCACCUUCCUACGUCUAGGUGUCGUCCAGAGAGGACUACAGGACUGUGCAAAUCCACAGUCGCCCCAAACAGGUCUCCUCAACGACCCCCUAUACUAAGCAAAGCGUAAAAAAGGCUUCCGGGACGCCCACUAUGACUACCGGUGAUCCUGAUUGGACAGUUCCUGUUAGUAAUAUCGUCGCUGAUUGGCGAACUGUACUCCAGCCUCACCCUCAGCCUAAAGAAUCGAAACUUCAGGAAGGCCAGGCUUUUGCCCUACUGCCUGCACCUUUAACGAAAGCAGACUUCCGUGAACUCAGAGGCUUGAAAGGCUACGUGAUGAGACCGCGACUCAACGCAAACAAAUAUGCCAGACGUGGUGGCAGGCAUUUCUUUCUUUUCCGUGACAACAGUUCGCUUUGUGGAUCCGCCUGCCGCUGCCUCCCAAAUGCUGGGAUUACAGGCGUUCGCCACCUCGCCAGACUGGUUCAGUCAUUGCUAAGCCCUGGGACGCUGCUAUGUUGGAGACUCACUUGGUCACUUCAAGACAUGCUAUCCAAAGAAAUCCUGUCUAGAAAAGCAAAACAAAGGAACGUAUAUACAAACAAACAAAGCCCAGGAAUAAACACAUCUCCUCUGAUACAAAAGGAUUAUUCCUGUGAACUGCCAAGUGCCAAAUGA